GGAGACAUCCCCGAUGGAAAUUCUAGCCACGAACACCCUCUCAUCCUCUCAAAGCUCUCUCUCAUUCAGAUCUCUCUCUCACUCAGAAAUACAAUAUCAGUAUGGACGUAGCCCAAACUUUGGGGUGAACCACGAUACAUCUUGUGUUAUUUACUUUCUUGCAGAUUCACGGUCGGAUUUACGUUGUUCUAAGACCUUUGGUUUUGUGCAUCAAUAGUUAGUAAUGUUCAUCAGAGCUUAAAAUAAAGUAACUGGAAAAACAAUAGUGAUUUCCACUUAAAACCAAAAGGUAAAAGAGCAAGGUAACUGCCACAGACAGUAAAAGCAAGGGAGAAUGCCAAGUUGAGUGAUAGGUAAAUCUUGGAACCUGUCUCGAUGUCUCCAGUGAAACGUGUGAGUUAGAACAGCUAGAAAGUGGAUCAAGCUGUGAACUAUUAUCCCUAAAUCUCACAUUUUGUUAUCCUGUUCUUUAUAUGCAUUGCAUUACCAUUCCCCAAUGUAAGAAUGACCCAGAGGGUUUUAAUUCCCCUACGCGUGGUCUCCAAUUUUUCAUCCCAAGAAAGUGAAGUCGGUCUUGUUUGACGUACGAAAAAAUUAUUUCUGUUUAUAAUGCUUGAUUUUAUUACAUGGUGAUGAGUCUUGUUAAAAAUCAAAAUGUUAAUAAUUGAUAUGACUUAGUUCGCUCUCUCUUGUGGGUAAGAAACAAAUUUCAUUAAUGGGAAACGGAAUUAUAACAUAGUGGGAAGACUGUUGGAAAUAUAGGAGAUUUGAAUGUCACUACUUCUCCUACAAUAAAUCAUAUAAAAUUAAGGGGUGUGAUAUCCACACACCCCAUUUUACUUCUCACACACCCUUUAUUUUGAUCGGAUGGAUGAAAUGAAGAAGAUUAACGGACAAAAAUUAACAAGAGAUGAUUUGGGGUAUGUGGAUAGCACACCCCAAAAUUAAUAUUAGUAUAUCACAAUUUUGUUACCACAAUUUAUUAAAUAAAAUAAAAAAAAUAAGAUAAAAUACUUAUCUUUUGUAGGUAGAGUUCUUUCUUCAUCGAUACUUGAUUAGAAUAAGAUUUUAGGUUGAAACGUGUAAUCACUACAAGAAAAAUGGGCUUUGGAUACUAAAUUGAGGACACAAAUGAAGAGUUUGUGUCCCUUUAAACACUAAUAGGGUGGAAUAGUGCACAUUGAAUAAAGAGCACCACGUAUUGUUCCCAAAUGUAAUAAAAGUUGACACAAACACAUUAUUGGGCACAAAAACCAAGAUUAUUGUGCCCAUAUGUCCAUCCUGCUUUCACAUGUCCCUUUAAUGUCAGAAAUGGAAAUUUAGUAUUAAUUUACAAAGACACGAUAACAGUUUUCAUGUCCUCUAAUUUAAUGUAUUUAAAGAAAAAGUAGGUUUUUUGUGUCCUCUACAUAUUUACUUUUUCUUAUUCCACAAUAAUAAGAUUGUUUAUUAAUUCAAAAUGACACUAUAAUAUUUUCAUGCCCUUAGUUUUAAAUAAAAUAAGAAUACCACUCUCUCUUUAGACAAAAAAAAGUUACACUAUUCCUACCAUGUUUUUGUACCACAUUUUUAUAUUAUCUUAGAUGGCAUUUGAUGUAGACAACCACAUCAUUUGAAUUAAUCAGAUUUUUAAAUUUAGUUCAUUAUUUAAUAAACUAAUAAUUAAGAAAAACUAGUUAAUUAAAUGAUGAUUGUGAUAUACAAGGAGUCUUUCUCCUUCUUUUUCUUGGGUUUUGUAAAUUUUUCAAAUGAUGUGACUGUCCAAAUCAAUUGCUACCUAAGAUGGUACACAAAUGUGGUAUAAAAACAUGAAUAACAUUACAAAAAAUAAAAAAUAAAAAAUAAAAAUAGAAUACCACUCUAUCUCUUCUCAAUCUUCAAGCCUCACUCUUCUCAAUUCCUUCCACCUCUUCUUUGUCUCUCUCCCAUCCCCUUCAACCCUAGCCUAUCCCUCUCAAUUCCUCCCGCCUCUCCUCUGUCUCUCCUUUUCCCAAUCAACCCAAGCCUCUCACCAACCCCAAGCUCUCCUCGUCAACCACAACCUCGCUUAAACUAUCCUCAUUUCCCUCCUCAAUCAUCUUCCUGCCUCUCGUAUCCUCUCCUCUUUCAUGCAACAGCGCCGCCGUCCACUUUCUGAC
rnacentral:lncRNA from 1 species